ACGCACGCUGGCGGCGUGCUUCACCCCUGCCAGUCGAACGGAAAGGCCCUGCUUUUGUGGGGUGCUCGAGUGGCGAACGGGUGAGUAACACGUGAGUAACCUGCCCUUGACUUUGGGAUAACUUCAGGAAACUGGGGCUAAUACCGGAUAGGAGCUCCUGCUGCAUGGUGGGGGUUGGAAAGUUUCGGCGGUUGGGGAUGGACUCGCGGCUUAUCAGCUUGCUGGUGGGGUAGUGGCUUACCAAGGCUUUGACGGGUAGCCGGCCUGAGAGGGUGACCGGCCACAUUGGGACUGAGAUACGGCCCAGACUCGUACGGGAGGCAGCAGUGGGGAAUAUUGCACAAUGGGCGGAAGCCUGAGGCAGCAACGCCGCGUGCGGGAUGACGGCCUUCGGGUUGUAAACCGCUUUCGCCUGUGACGAAGCGUGAGUGACGGUAAUGGGUAAAGAAGCACCGGCUAACUACGUG
rnacentral:rRNA from 1 species